GCACGUCACGUCACUGCCCGAGAGAGACCCAGGAAAAGGCGGAAGGGAGCGCGCCGCCGCCGCUGCCCGCCGCCUCGGGCCAGCCGCCCGCCGGGACCGGGGCCGCCGGCUGGGCCAGGGGCCGCUGCCGAGCGAGGCGAGCCGGCGCGGGUAGGGGUGGCGGCGGCGCGGGGUGGGGGAGGCGCGGUGGCGCUCGGCUCCCCGCGGCUCCUCCUGCAACCGCCUCCGCCGCAGCUCGGCCGUGAAGCGCCGCUCGGGGCUCGGCGUGCGCCCCCGAAGCGGAGCUGCUGCCUCGGGGACCCCCCUCCCCUCCCGGCCCCUCCAUGCUGGCGCCGCCCGGGCUAGCCUCCCCCGCCCUUCGCCUCCCGCCGCCAUCCCGCGGCGCCGGCCGCUUAGGCCUGCGGCCCCGCCGGGCCCGGCCCCGCUGCGGGCCGGUGGUCGCCGCGCUCUAGCCGGGAUGUUUAAGUCGCGUCGGCGCACCGGGAGAUGGGAAAAGAAUUUGUGUUGAUCCAUGAAGGAUGCAUCGGAAAGUUCAUGCCAUGAGUAACCUCAUGGAGAUGAAGAGUCUCAGGUAUUGCAGGAUCAGCAUUUCUAGAUACUACCAAGCCUUUUACUGCCAGACUGAGACCCUAUUCCUAUCCUUUGCUGACUGCUUUAGGAAGGAGUCUUUCUGUUGCUGCCACAAGAUAAUGUUGCUACCAGGUUGCCAUCACUAGCCCUUCUUUAUCCCCUGGCAAUCUCUUGGUCCUUCACCAAAAAUGUCCUGGGCUACAUGGUGAAGUGCUUCUGUGCAGGACCUGGGAAACAUCCAGUGAAGAAUGGCCUGCGACUCACAGAAGGAAAUGCAUCAGAGAUUAUUUGAUCCCAGUCAGUGUGCCCAAAAUGGGCCUGAAGAGGAGGUGCUUUAACUCCUUUCACUUGGGGCAACAAUCCUGGCAAGAAAAUGGUUGCUGGAACCUCCCAGAGCAGCACUGGUUAUUGCUGACUGCUGUGACGAGCAUAUGGCCAUGCACAAGAUCUCUAUGGAUGAAGCAAAAUUCCUUGAAAUUGCUUAAAGAAAAGUGAAGACAGCUCAAGUCAUCUGUGAUAGGCAUGAUGUUUUAUCCACAGUAUGAAAUGUUGAAUCCUAUUAUGACCAAGGAACCAACAUCAUCAAAUUCAGAGAAAUCACAGCAUAAGACAGAUGCAAUUAGACAAAAAGGAUACAAGAUACUGCAAGGUAUGAAGUGAUGUUAUGUUGAGUCAGUUCUUGACAUUCCUGCUGGGCAGGGGAAUGAGACGUAUAUAUGGUAAUUUUUGCAGGUGGGUGAUGACAAGCAUAUAAAACUCUCCAGAUUUCACUAUGGAUAUGUGAUCCAUCGGCACCAAAGGGCAAGUGCUUUAUAACCUUGCAUUCCUCUACCAUAAUGUGGUUUGACUUUGGCACUACAUUGGUCACAGGCUGCUCAGAAGAAGAGACCUCCCUGCUCUCCGGGCGGCUCUGUUAGUUACCUGUCUCAUUAAACAAAGAAUAAAAGCAGAACUCCAGGGAAGCCACUGCUAUAUCCUCUAGCUUCAGCAACUAGCAGUCCUGGGUUUGCUGCAUUGACCUGCUCCCACUAGGCAGAAUCCUCACCACUGAGCUGGAAGACCAGCUGAAUGCUGUGGGUUGCUGUGCUGCCCAUUGCACAAGAAUGUGGGAAGGGCUUUGACCAAGCCAUUCAUACUUCUGCAAUCACCUCUGGUUUUCAGGGUGCUCCUUGGAGAGACCAAAAAGCAGAACUGGCUUGGUGGUGGUGGGAAGCUUCACAUAACUUCUGAUAAACAAGGCUUGGAAGGUGCAAUGUGGACUGGAAAGGUUCCCAGACUGUCACAGUGCCCAGGUUUCAGGUAGUAUCUGGUCUGGUAUUUGUCAGGAGGAAUGGGUAGACCACUGAGACAGGCACAUUGCAGCCCAUACCAACAGAUGCAGCAUGAAGCCACCAACUUGCUUCAACCCAUGGAGCUUAGAGACAAAAGUGCCAAACACACUUGAAGAUACUGAGCCACGCCAUGGCAUAGUUCCGUAGUCACCUCUAAGACCAUAAAUACCCUCUUGUUUUAUUCAGCAGUGUGUCUGAAUUUGACUAUGUCUACCAGUCUCCAAAUCUAGGACAAGCAAAGUUGUGAUGCUGACUGAACUGCCUGUGUGUACAGGCAGCCAAAAUGCUUGGGAGCCAAAGGCUUGAGUACAAAGGAAGAUGAAUGAAGCUGUAAGAGAAAAAUAUUUUCUUUUGAUGAGAAAACAAGUUGCAGUGAGUUAAGUAAUGAAAAAAGAUUGAGCUGAACUGUUCUGUGUUAGUACACAAAAUUCCUUUGAAGAAAUUGCCAUUAAAAAUGCUUAUCAAAUAAAAAGUCUUUCCAGGAAGGUUUUCAUGGCAUUAUAAAACAUUUUUUCCAAGUCCAUAUGUAGAUGAUGCUGAGAUGUGUGUAAUGCAGAAAAACAAGGUAGGUGGGGAAAAUACAUGAAAGAAGCAUGACAACGUGUUUAUUUAUAGGAAGUUCAUCAUGGUAAGGCUGGAAUAUUGAAUAGCAAAGGAGUGGGAAACGCACAGGCUGAACAGGGAAACGUGAUCUGAGAAUAUCUUGUCAGUGUCACUUGGGGUCUGGAUUUAGGCAGUCAUUCUAAAGGUUCCUACUUAGUAAUUAGAAAAUCUGUUCAGAUACACCAGGCUGACAACUGACUGUCAUGUUUUUUAUCCAAGUAUUAUCAUGCACCUUGAGGAACUCUGUCCAGUGUAAAGAACCUCCUGGCUGUUUGGACCCAAAAGAGGAAUGCAAAGGGCUCAUGUUCAGUCUGCUAUGCUAUGCAAGAUAGUUGUGGAGAAAGAUGAGAAGAAGGUCCACAUGUUUAUGGUCUUAUGGUGGUGUUAGACAGUCAGUAGCUUUGAACUCACUUAAAAAGUUUAAAUUGGUGAAAAUGUUGUAAGGCCAAUAUGAAAUCUCUACGCUUGCAUAUGUCUCGAAUAACUUCUCUAUUUAAAAAUAUUAGCAGUG